UACGUAGGGCGCAAGCGUUGUCCGGAAUUAUUGGGCGUAAAGAGCUCGUAGGCGGUUUGUCGCGUCUGCUGUGAAAACCUAAGGCUCAACCUUGGGCUUGCAGUGGGUACGGGCAGACUAGAGUGCGGUAGGGGGUGACUGGAAUUCCUGGUGUAGCGGUGGAAUGCGCAGAUAUCAGGAGGAACACCGAUGGCGAAGGCAGGUCACUGGG
rnacentral:rRNA from 1 species